GACGAACGCUGGCGGCGUGCUUAACACAUGCAAGUCGAGCGGUAAGGCCCUUUCGGGGGUACACGAGCGGCGAACGGGUGAGUAACACGUGGGUGACCUGCCCUCAGCUCUGGGAUAAGCCCGGGAAACUGGGUCUAAUACUGGAUAUGACUCCACGGUGCAUGCCGUGGGGUGGAAAGCCUUGUGCGGCUGAGGAUGGGCCCGCGGCCUAUCAGCUUGUUGGUGGGGUGAUGGCCUACCAAGGCGACGACGGGUAGCCGGCCUGAGAGGGCGACCGGCCACACUGGGACUGAGACACGGCCCAGACUCCUACGGGAGGCAGCAGUGGGGAAUCUUGCGCAAUGGGCGAAAGCCUGACGCAGCGACGCCGCGUGAGGGAUGACGGCCUC
rnacentral:rRNA from 1 species